GACGAACGCUGGCGGCGUGCUUAACACAUGCAAGUCGAACGGAAAGGCCCUGCUCUUGUGGGGUGCUCGAGUGGCGAACGGGUGAGUAACACGUGAGUAACCUGCCCUUGACUUUGGGAUAACUUCAGGAAACUGGGGCUAAUACCGGAUAGGAGCUCCUGCUGCAUGGUGGGGGUUGGAAAGAUUCGGCGGUUGGGGAUGGACUCGCGGCUUAUCAGCUUGUUGGUGGGGUAGUGGCUUACCAAGGCUUUGACGGGUAGCCGGCCUGAGAGGGUGACCGGCCACAGUGGGACGGGGAAACGGCCCGGACUCCUACGGGAGGCAGCAGUGGAGAAUAUUGCAAAAUGGGCGGAAGCCUGAUGCAGCAACGCCGCGUGCGGGAUGACGGCCUUCGGGUUGUAAACCGCUUUCGCCUGUGACGAAGCGUGAGUGACGGAAAUGGGUAAAGAAGCACCGGCUAACUACGU
rnacentral:rRNA from 1 species